AAUCAACGCUGGCGGCGUGCCUCAGACAUGCAAGUCGAACGAGAAAGUUCCCUUCGGGGGAUGAGUAAAGUGGCGCACGGGUGAGUAACACGUAGGUAAUCUACCUUCGGGUGGGGAAUAACCCAGGGAAACUUGGGCUAACACCGCAUAAUGCAGCGGCACCACAUGGUGACAGUUGUUAAAGCGGGGGGAUUUUAGGACCUCGCGCCUGAAGAGGAGCCUGCGGCGGAUUAGCUAGUUGGAAGGUAACGGCUUACCAAGGCGACGAUCCGUAACCGGCCUGAGAGGGCGGUCGGUCACACUGACACUGACAUACGGGUCAGACUCCUACGGGAGGCAGCAGUCGGGAAUUUUGGGCAAUGGGCGAAAGCCUGACCCAGCAACGCCGCGUG
rnacentral:rRNA from 1 species